rnacentral:rRNA from 1 species
UACGUAGGGCGCAAGCGUUAUCCGGAAUUAUUGGGCGUAAAGAGCUCGUAGGCGGUUUGUCACGUCGUCUGUGAAAUCCUCCAGCUUAACUGGGGGCGUGCAGGCGAUACGGGCAGACUUGAGUACUACAGGGGAGACUGGAAUUCCUGGUGUAGCGGUGAAAUGCGCAGAUAUCAGGAGGAACACCGGUGGCGAAGGCGGGUCUCUGGGUAGUAACUGACGCUGAGGAGCGAAAGCAUGGGUAGCGAACAGG